UACGUAGGGUGCAAGCGUUGUCCGGAAUUAUUGGGCGUAAAGAGCUCGUAGGCGGUUUGUUGCGUCGGCUGUGAAAUCCCGAGGCUCAACCUCGGGUCUGCAGUCGAUACGAGCAAACUAGAGUGUUGCAGGGGAGACUGGAAUUCCUGGUGUAGCGGUGAAAUGCGCAGAUAUCAGGAGGAACACCGGUGGCGAAGGCGGUUCUCUGGGCAUGACCUGACGCUGAGGAGCGAAAGUGUGGGGAGCGAACAGG
rnacentral:rRNA from 1 species